rnacentral:rRNA from 1 species
UACGGGGGGAGCAAGCGUUGUUCGGAUUUACUGGGCGUAAAGGGCGCGUAGGCGGCCAAACAAGUCACUUGUGAAAUCUCCGGGCUUAACUCGGAAAGGUCAAGUGAUACUGUCUGGCUAGAGUGCGGAAGGGGCAACUGGAAUUCUCGGUGUAGCGGUGAAAUGCGUAGAUAUCGAGAGGAACACCUGCGGCGAAGGCGGGUUGCUGGGCCGACACUGACGCUGAAGCGCGAAAGCUAGGGGAGCGAACGGG